GAUGAACGCUGGCGGCGUGCCUAAUACAUGCAAGUCGAGCGAAUCGAUUGAGAGCUUGCUCUUAUGAAGUUAGCGGCGGACGGGUGAGUAACACGUGGGUAACCUGCCCAUAAGACUGGGAUAACUCCGGGAAACCGGGGCUAAUACCGGAUAACAUUUUGAACCGCAUGGUUCGAAAUUGAAAGGCGGCUUCGGCUGUCACUUAUGGAUGGACCCGCGUCGCAUUAGCUAGUUGGUGAGGUAACGGCUCACCAAGGCAACGAUGCGUAGCCGACCUGAGAGGGUGAUCGGCCACACGGGGACUGGGACACGGCCCAGACGCCUACGGGAGGCAGCAGUAGGGAAUCUUCCGCAAUGGCCGAAAGUCUGACGGAGCAACGCCGCGUGAGUGAUGAAGGCUUUCGGGUCGUAAAACUCUGUUGUUAGGGAAGAACAAGUGCUAGUUGAAUAAGCUGGCACCUUGACGGUACCUAACCAGAAAGCCACGGCUAACUACGUGCCAGCCGCCGCGGUAA
rnacentral:rRNA from 1 species